rnacentral:rRNA from 1 species
GGGCCCGCACAAGCAGUGGAGCAUGUGGUUUAAUUCGAAGAUACGCGCAGAACCUUACCAACACUUGACAUGUUCGUCGCGACUUUAAGAGAUUAGAGUUUUCGGUUCGGCCGGACGAAACACAGGUGCUGCAUGGCUGUCGUCAGCUCGUGUCGUGAGAUGUUGGGUUAAGUCCCGCAACGAGCGCAACCCUCACUUUUAGUUGCCAUCAUUUAGUUGGGCACUCUGAAAGAACUGCCAGUGAUAAGCUGGAGGAAGGUGGGGAUGACGUCAAGUCCUCAUGGCCCUUACGUGUUGGGCUACACACGUGCUACAAUGGUAUCUACAACAGGAAGCAAGACGGCGACGUUAAGCAAAUCCUCAAAAGAUACCUCAGUUCGGAUUGCACUCUGCAACUCGAGUGCAUGAAGCUGGAAUUACUAGUAAUCGU